rnacentral:tRNA from 1 species
GGGAUUAGCUCAGCUGGCUAGAGCGCCUGCCUUGCACGCAGGAGGUCAUCGGUUCGACUCCGAUAUUCUCCACAACCCCAGU